AUCCAAGUUUUCUAAAUCUGAUGAGGUCAUAUCCGGUGCCACGGAACCCCUCGAUGUUACAUAAUCCAAGCACUGGAAGUUUGCUGAUUUGGCAACAGAUGGCGUUAAGCAUUACUGUUAAUCCACAUGACUUGCAUCCUUCUACUGUUUAUAAUUGGCGCAUUUCGCCCAACAAAUGGCAUGAAGAGGUACCGUUGAUAACUUGUGACGUGCUAGAUGGAACCAGGUGCAUCAGAAAUAAAGUCAAGCC
rnacentral:lncRNA from 1 species